rnacentral:rRNA from 1 species
GAUUGAACCGCAUGGUUCAAUCAUAAAAGGUGGCUUUCAGCUACCACUUACAGAUGGACCCGAGGCGCAUUAGCUAGUUGGUGAGGUAACGGAUCACCAAGGCGAAGAUGCGUAGACGACCUGAGAGGGUGAUCGGCCACACUGGGACUGAGACACGGCCCCAGAAUCCUACGGAAGCCACCAUUAGGGAUUCUUCCGCAAUGUACGAAAGUCUGACGGAGCAACGCCGCGUGAGUGAUGAAGGUUUUCGGAUCGUAAAACUCUGUUGUUAGGGAAGAACAAGUACCGUUCGAAUAGGGCGGUACCUUGACGGUACCUAACCAGAAAGCCACGGCUAACUACGUGCCAGCAGCCGCGGUAAUACGUAGGUGGCAAGCGUUGUCCGGAAUUAUUGGGCGUAAAGCGCGCGCAGGCGGUUUCUUAAGUCUGAUGUGAAAGCCCCCGGCUCAACCGGGGAGGGUCAUUGGAAACUGGGGAACUUGAGUGCAGAAGAGGAGAGUGGAUUCCACGUGUAGCGGUGAAAUGCGUAGAGAUGUGGAGGAACACCAGUGGCGAAGGCGACUCUCUGGUCUGUAACUGACGCUGAGGCGCGAAAGCGUGGGGAGCGAACAGGAUUAGAUACCCUGGUAGUCCACGCCGUAAACGAUGAGUGCUAAGUGUUAGAGGGUUUCCGCCCUUUAGUGCUGCAGCAAACGCAUUAAGCACUCCGCCUGGGGAGUACGGUCGCAAGACUGAAACUCAAAGGAAUUGACGGGGGCCCGCACAAGCGGUGGAGCAUGUGGUUUAAUUAGAAGCAACGCGAAGAACC